AGGGAAUCUUCCGCAAUGGACGAAAGUCUGACGGAGCAACGCCGCGUGAGUGAUGAAGGUUUUCGGAUCGUAAAACUCUGUUAUUAGGGAAGAACAAAUGUGUAAGUAACUGUGCACAUCUUGACGGUACCUAAUCAGAAAGCCACGGCUAACUACGUGCCAGCAGCCGCGGUAAUACGUAGGUGGCAAGCGUUAUCCGGAAUUAUUGGGCGUAAAGCGCGCGUAGGCGGUUUCUUAAGUCUGAUGUGAAAGCCCACGGCUCAACCGUGGAGGGUCAUUGGAAACUGGGAAACUUGAGUACAGAAGAGGAAAGUGGAAUUCCAUGUGUAGCGGUGAAAUGCGCAGAGAUAUGGAGGAACACCAGUGGCGAAGGCGACUUUCUGGUCUGUAACUGACGCUGAUGUGCGAAAGCGUGGGGAUCAAACAGGAUUAGAUACCCUGGUAGUCCACGCCGUAAACGAUGAGUGCUAAGUGUUAGGGGGUUUCCGCCCCUUAGUGCUGCAGCUAACGCAUUAAGCACUCCGCCUGGGGAGUACGACCGCAAGGUUG
rnacentral:rRNA from 1 species